GAUGAACGCUAGCGGCAGGCUUAAUACAUGCAAGUCGUGGGGCAGCAUGAGUAGCAAUACUUGAUGGCGACCGGCAAACGGGUGCGGAACACGUACACAACCUUCCGAUAAGUGGGGAAUAGCCCAGAGAAAUUUGGAUUAAUACCCCGUAACAUAUAGAGUAGGCAUCUUCUUUAUAUUAUAGCUUCGGCGCUUAUUGAUGGGUGUGCGUCUGAUUAGGUAGUUGGCGGGGUAACGGCCCACCAAGCCUACGAUCAGUAGCUGAUGUGAGAGCAUGAUCAGCCACACGGGCACUGAGACAUGGGCCCGACUCCUACGGGAGGCAGCAGUAAGGAAUAUUGGACAAUGGGCGAAAGCCUGAUGCAGCCAUGCCGCGUGAAGGAUUAAGGUCCUCUGGAUUGUAAACUUCUUUUAUUUGGGACGAAAAAAGGGAAUUCUUUCCCACUUGACGGUACCAAGUGAAUAAGCACCGGCUAACUCCGUGCCAGCCGCCGCAGUAA
rnacentral:rRNA from 1 species